rnacentral:rRNA from 1 species
GGGUUGUGAGGUUAAGCGACUAAGCGUACACGGUGGAUGCCCUGGCAGUCAGAGGCGAUGAAGGGCGUGCUAAUCUGCGAUAAGCGCCGGUAAGGUGAUAUGAACCGUUAUAACCGGCGAUACCCGAAUGGGGAAACCCAGUGUGAUUCGUCACACUAUCAUUAACUGAAUCCAUAGGUUAAUGAGGCGAACCGGGGGAACUGAAACAUCUAAGUACCCCGAGGAAAAGAAAUCAACCGAGAUUCCCCCAGUAGCGGCGAGCGAACGGGGAGGAGCCCAGAGCCUGAAUCAGCAUGUGUGUUAGUGGAAGCGUCUGGAAAGGUGCGCGAUACAGGGUGACAGCCCCGUACACAAAAGCGCAUGUGCUGUGAGCUCGAUGAGUAGGGCGGGACACGUGGUAUCCUGUCUGAAUAUGGGGGGACCAUCCUCCAAGGCUAAAUACUCCUGACUGACCGAUAGUGAACCAGUACCGUGAGGGAAAGGCGAAAAGAACCCCGGCGAGGGGAGUGAAAAAGAACCUGAAACCGUGUACGUACAAGCAGUGGGAGCACAGGUUUACCUGUGUGACUGCGUACCUUUUGUAUAAUGGGUCAGCGACUUAUAUUCUGUAGCAAGGUUAACCGUAUAGGGGAGCCGUAGGGAAACCGAGUCUUAACCGGGCGUUAAGUUGCAGGGUAUAGACCCGAAACCCGGUGAUUCUAGCCAUGGGCAGGUUGAAGGUUGGGUAACACUAACUGGAGGACCGAACCGACUAAUGUUGAAAAAUUAGCGGAUGACCUGUGGCUGGGGUGAAAGGCCAAUCAAACCGGGAGAUAGCUGGUUCUCCCCGAAAGCUAUUUAGGUAGCGCCUCGUGAAUUCAUCUCCGGGGUAGAGCACUGUUUCGGCUAGGGGGCCAUCCCGGCUUACCAACCCGAUGCAAACUGCGAAUACCGGAGAAUGUUAUCACGGGAGACACACGGCGGGUGCUAACGUCCGUCGUGAAGAGGGAAACAACCCAGACCGCCAGCUAAGGUCCCAAAGUCAUGGUUAAGUGGGAAACGAUGUGGGAAGGCCCAGACAGCCAGGAUGUUGGCUUAGAAGCAGCCAUCAUUUAAAAGAAAGCGUAAUAGCUCACUGGUCGAGUCGGCCUGCGCGGAAGAUGUAACGGGGCUAAACCAUGCACCGAAGCUGCGGCAGCGAACGUAUCACCCAAGACAACUUUACGGAGUUGACGAUUGACGGAGCGAAGCGACGUCAAAGCGUUCAUUAAAGUCGAGUUGGCUUAGGGAUACGUUCGUUGGGUAGGGGAGCGUUCUGUAAGCCUGUGAAGGUGUGUCGUGAGGCAUGCUGGAGGUAUCAGAAGUGCGAAUGCUGACAUAAGUAACGAUAAAGCGGGUGAAAAGCCCGCUCGCCGGAAGACCAAGGGUUCCUGUCCAACGUUAAUCGGGGCAGGGUGAGUCGACCCCUAAGGCGAGGCCGAAAGGCGUAGUCGAUGGGAAACGGGUUAAUAUUCCCGUACUUGGUGUUACUGCGAAGGGGGGACGGAGAAGGCUAUGUUGGCCGGGCGACGGUUGUCCCGGUUUAAGCGUGUAGGUGUGUGUUCCAGGUAAAUCCGGUUCACUUUAACACUGAGGCGUGAUGACGAGGCACUACGGUGCUGAAGCAACAAAUGCCCUGCUUCCGUGAAAAGCCUCUAAGCAUCAGGUAACACGAAAUCGUACCCCAAACCGACACAGGUGGUCAGGUAGAGAAUACCAAGGCGCUUGAGAGAACUCGGGUGAAGGAACUAGGCAAAAUGGUGCCGUAACUUCGGGAGAAGGCACGCUGACACGUAGGUGAAGUGAUUUACUCAUGGAGCUGAAGUCAGUCGAAGAUACCAGCUGGCUGCAACUGUUUAUUAAAAACACAGCACUGUGCAAACACGAAAGUGGACGUAUACGGUGUGACGCCUGCCCGGUGCCGGAAGGUUAAUUGAUGGGGUCAGCGUAAGCGAAGCUCCUGAUCGAAGCCCCGGUAAACGGCGGCCGUAACUAUAACGGUCCUAAGGUAGCGAAAUUCCUUGUCGGGUAAGUUCCGACCUGCACGAAUGGCGUAAUGAUGGCCAGGCUGUCUCCACCCGAGACUCAGUGAAAUUGAACUCGCUGUGAAGAUGCAGUGUACCCGCGGCAAGACGGAAAGACCCCGUGAACCUUUACUAUAGCUUGACACUGAACAUUGAGCCUUGAUGUGUAGGAUAGGUGGGAGGCUUUGAAGUGUGGACGCCAGUCUGCAUGGAGCCGACCUUGAAAUACCACCCUUUAAUGUUUGAUGUUCUAACGUGGACCCGUAAUCCGGGUUGCGGACAGUGUCUGGUGGGUAGUUUGACUGGGGCGGUCUCCUCCCAAAAGAGUAACGGAGGAGCACGAAGGUUGGCUAAUCCCCGUCGGACAUCAGGAGGUUAGUGCAAUGGCAUAAGCCAGCUUGACUGCGAGCGUGACGGCGCGAGCAGGUGCGAAAGCAGGUCAUAGUGAUCCGGUGGUUCUGAAUGGAAGGGCCAUCGCUCAACGGAUAAAAGGUACUCCGGGGAUAACAGGCUGAUACCGCCCAAGAGUUCAUAUCGACGGCGGUGUUUGGCACCUCGAUGUCGGCUCAUCACAUCCUGGGGCUGAAGUAGGUCCCAAGGGUAUGGCUGUUCGCCAUUUAAAGUGGUACGCGAGCUGGGUUUAGAACGUCGUGAGACAGUUCGGUCCCUAUCUGCCGUGGGCGCUGGAGAACUGAGGGGGGCUGCUCCUAGUACGAGAGGACCGGAGUGGACGCAUCACUGGUGUUCGGGUUGUCAUGCCAAUGGCACUGCCCGGUAGCUAAAUGCGGAAGAGAUAAGUGCUGAAAGCAUCUAAGCACGAAACUUGCCCCGAGAUGAGUUCUCCCUGAGACUUAGAGUCUCCUGAAGGAACGUUGAAGACGACGACGUUGAUAGGCCGGGUGUGUAAGCGCAGCGAUGCGUUGAGCUAACCGGUACUAAUGAACCGUGAGGCUUAACCUUACAACGCCGAAG